UUGUAGUCAUAUGCUUGUCUCAAAGAUUAAGCCAUGCAUGUCUAAGUAUAAGCAACUUUGUACUGUGAGACUGCGAAUGGCUCAUUAAAUCAGUUAUAGUUUAUAUGAUGGUUUUUGCUACAUGGAUAACUGUGGUAAUUCUAGAGCUAAUACAUGCAUUCAAGCCCCGACUUCUGGAAGGGGCGUAUUUAUUAGAUAAAAAUCAACUUUGUUGGUGAAUCAUAAUAACUUCUCGGACCGCAUGGCCUCGUGCUGGCGGUGCUUCAUUCAAAUAUCUGCCCUAUCAACUGUCGAUGGUAGGAUAGAGGCCUACCAUGGUUGCAACGGGUAACGGGGAAUAAGGGUUCGAUUCCGGAGAGGGAGCCUGAGAAACGGCUACCACAUCCAAGGAAGGCAGCAGGCGCGCAAAUUACCCAAUCCCAACACGGGGAGGUAGUGACAAUAUGUAACAAUAUACGGCCUUAUACGUCGUAUAAUUGGAAUGAGUACAAUUUAAAUCCCUUAACGAGGAACAAU
rnacentral:rRNA from 1 species